AAUCCUGGCUCAGGAUGAACGCUGGCGGCGUGCUUAACACAUGCAAGUCGAACGAAGCACUUUAUUUGAUCUCCUUCGGGACUGAUUAUUUUGUGACUGAGUGGCGGACGGGUGAGUAACGCGUGGGUAACCUGCCUUGUACAGGGGGAUAACAGUUGGAAACGGCUGCUAAUACCGCAUAAGCGCACAGCAUCGCAUGAUGCAGUGUGAAAAACUCCGGUGGUAUAAGAUGGACCCG
rnacentral:rRNA from 1 species